GCCUGCGCUCUUGCCGGGGCAGGCGCCAUCUUGCUCCGACCUGACCCGGGUUCUCCUUACCUUUAGAGAUGAGGCGCUCUUCCCUGAGGUUCGGGUGUCGAGCACUCUUUUUGCCUUGUCCUUAGUUUGCCUCGGACUUGAUGGGACGCUCCUGCGCAGGUGCGGGCCAGGGGAGACCCGCUAGGCAAACUUGCCGUCCGUCCUCAGGGCCAAGCCCAACCCAGGGGAGGGACCAGGACCCCUGUCCAAAUGGCCACAAUACCAGCCGGGACAAGGAGGCGAGGAACAGAUGCUUGGGGAAACCAAAGGAGUGAGCAGAAGAUGGUUUCUUCACACGCACAGAUACCUAUCAAAUGCCAAGUACGUGCCCAACGCUGUCCUAGCUGCCGAGGGUAGAGCAGCACACAAAAUCUCUGCCGUCAGGGUGAGAAGCUUAUCUGCUUCUACAAGGUAUGCGUAUUUGUCAGUGUACCUCUACACCUGUGUGCCUGUGUGUACAUGUCUGUAUCUGUGUAUCUCUGUCUAUGCCACGUGACGACCACGGGUGUGCAUAAUGACUUGACAGCUGGGAGAGAGAGAAAGCCAGGUAAAGAGGGAUGUGAAGCAGGAGUGCCCGGGGUGGGGGCGGGGGAGAACCUUCCCAGCGCCACAGGAUGGACGUUAGCUCUGUUUUACGGACGGGAGGUGACGUUCCCUAGAGGGCACUUGUAACAGAGAGAGGCCAAUACGUGCUUGGCACCUCCACGAGGACCCGGACCAGGGAGGUGUUGUCAUUGUCCCCGCUGUACAGGUUAACAAACCCGAGGGCCCACGCGGUCAACAGACUGCCUGAGUCCCGACUUUGCUCCACAUGAGCUGUGUGACCUGAGGCCAAUUGCUUAGAAAUGUGUGAGUCGCAAAUGUAAUUUCUAAUUUUCUAGUAGCCACAUUUAAAUAUAAAAUAAAGAAAAACCCGUGAACUUGUUUAUUUUAUUUAACUCAGUAUAUCAAACAUAUUGCUUCCAUAUGGAACCCCUAUAAAAAUUCAGAUAUUUUACAUAUCUUAUGCCAAGUCUUCAACAUCCCAUGUGUGCGUGACACGCAGGGCAGGGCACACACCCAGCGCUCAGCAGCCCCCUGUGGCUGUCGGCUGGCCAGCGCGGGUCCACGGAAUGGGGAUGGUGAGGACCAGGUGGGGAUUAGCGCGGAAUGAACUGAGUGAGGCGCUUGCCUUGGGAAAACGAAAACCGUAAGGGAGCACCCAAACACCGGGAACCAACAUGAAUACCUCCUCCUCAAGACAAGUUGUAUUAAAAUAGUAUUUCUCUUGAC